UACGUAGGGUGCGAGCGUUAAUCGGAAUUACUGGGCGUAAAGCGUGCGCAGGCGGUUUUGUAAGUCAGAUGUGAAAUCCCCGGGCUUAACCUGGGAACUGCGUUUGAAACUACAAGGCUAGAGUGAGGCAGAGGGGGGUGGAAUUCCACGUGUAGCAGUGAAAUGCGUAGAGAUGUGGAGGAACACCGAUAGCGAAGGCAGCCCCCUGGGUUAACACUGACGCUCAGGCACGAAAGCGUGGGGAGCAAACAGG
rnacentral:rRNA from 1 species